CCCCUAGAUGUUCUGGGCCGCACGCGCGCUACACUGAACAGUUCAACAAGUCUUAACCUUGGCCGAUAGGUCUGGGUAAUCUUUGAACGCUGUUCGUGAUUGGGAUAGACCUUUGCAAUUAUGGGUCUUCAACGAGGAAUUCCUAGUAAACGCAAGUCAUCAGCUUGCAUUGGUUACGUCCCUGCCCUUUGUACACACCGCCCGUCGCACCUACCGAUUGAAUGGUCCGGUGAAAUCUCGGGACGGCGGCUUGGUCGCUUGCGUCCGACUGCUGAAACUUGAUUAAACCAUAUCAUUUAGAGGAAGGUGAANUCGUAACA
rnacentral:rRNA from 1 species